UCGGCGGCCUGCUGACCCUGCAGCCAGCAACAGUAGACACCUAAUUAACAAAAAGAAUAUUUAAGUGACAUUAAACAAAAUAUUCUGGUUAUCACACCAGGUUGAAAUGAGAAAAACAGGCAUUCAAAAGAGGAAAUGGAUUUCAGCAGGAUCACAUUAAAACACCAAAACAUCAUAGAUGAUUGCAGGGGGCUACAACACAUACACUGGAACUAAUGCGGUGAUGAGGGACAGCUGAGCAGCCAGGUGCCUGGAUCACAUGAUUGACUGAGUCUUGCAGAUAUGUGUCAGGGGGAGCAGACGAUCUGUUGAUUUAGUGAACAACCUGCUCUACCUUCCUUCUGAGGCUACAGCCACCCCACCUGUCUGAUGUAUGUACCUCUUUAUAUUUAUCUACAUGCUUACUUGUACCCCAGAAAUGCCAUCGGAGCAAGGAUUUUGGAGGAUGGAGGAGCUUGAGUUGGACAAGUCACUUCACAGCUUUUGACCUCCAGCUUGGCUCCAACUCGCAUCAGUUGCCCAAAAGGCACCCCUCCUGAGCCACAUGACGCAACUGUCUGAUUGACCCGUCUGUAGCGUAUAUGCAGGAAGUGGGAGUGGACGUAGCAGAGUCCCACACGAACCUGCUCUCCCGGUACUCCACAGCGAUCACAGACUGACCAGGGCCGGAACGUGGUGAAGAUCCGGUACAACGGCUGAGCAGAGCCGAGUCGUUUUGUUUCAUUACUUUCCUCUGUUAUAGUUUCUGGAGUGAGCCUAUGAGCAUCAAAUCAGAAUAUGAAUCCCUUCAUGAUCAGUAGUUCAAAAUGGGUUACAUGGCCACAGUCAUUGACUACCCGUCUUUCGCGUGACCUUGGAGUGAAGCUGAGUGUGUGCGCCUCCUGAAUGUCCAGGUCGUAACCAUAGAAGAAGUCUUUGUGGGCAGAGCCACAGAUAUAGAUGCCGGAGUCGUGAGGCCCCGCUCUGAAGAUCAACAGGCUGAAGAGACGAAUAGAGAAUCGACUCUCCAGGCUGCCGCUGUGAGGGAUGUGACUGGGGUCCAGCAGCUUGUUGCCAUGGUGAUCUGUCAGGACUCUUGUCUCCUUGGAGCUGCCCAGAUGUUUCUUGAAGAACCAAACAACUGACUGGACCUGAAACACACAGGCAACUAAAUGACCAAAAUAUAUGGUCGCUUGUCUCAUUUGUUUUAUCAUAUUUGCUAAAACUGUCACUGUAUCUGUCACGACAUAGUGACAGUUUUAGCAAAUAUGACAAAAAGUUAUUUUUAAAAGAUUUCCCCACUGCUGCUUUAAAGAGUGGGACAUGAAAAUUACACAGACAUGCAUGUAGUGGUUUUACCUGUUCUGGUUUGCAGUGGCAGGGCAUCUCCAAAGUGACUCCAGCCAGAAAGGCAACGUUGAUGAAGGUCAGGAAGGCAGGACAGGCUCUUUUAGCAAACACAUCCUCCUUAUCCUCAGGAGCUUCAUAGCUCCACAACUCAGGACACAGGAGGAGGAGGAAGAGGAGGAGGAGGGGAGAGGAUGGUGGAGGGGGCAUUAGGCUCUCUGAGGACAAAGAGGGUUCUUACAAGCUACAAAAGUCACAACUUCAAUAAAAUAUUUCUGCAGAAUCUCGGAGAAGCCUCCGGAGUGUUUGUUCUGUCUUAUUUAACAUCUGAAGAAUGAAACUCAAACAAGGUUACUUUCAAAACAAAACAGCUUUGAUGGAAUCUUAUGAGAUCACUAAGGACCCACCCUCUGUUGUCAACGCAAACAACCCGUAUUAUUACAUUUUCUGACAUAACACAAACUAGUCUUUGUUUGUA